rnacentral:lncRNA from 1 species
CCAUAGGUUCAAUUCCGUCUGAUAGUAAAAUAUAUUAUAAUCUCUAUCAAUAUCAUUGAAACUUCUUUCAAUGGAUUGAAAUUCUUUCUAAUUCAGCCAAUUCGAGAAUUAUUGAUCAUCAGAAUAAUUCUCAAGUGGUCUUACGAUCAACUAGUAACACCUAGCAGUAUGUAGUGGCAAUCCAGCAGAACUGAAUAGAUAAAUCUCUAAGUGCAGUUACUAUGUGGUCUGAUUGUGGGACUCAUCGGGCGUUGUCUUGAUGAUUGAUGACCUUCGAAGG